rnacentral:rRNA from 1 species
GACGAACGCUGGCGGCGUGCUUUACACAUGCAAGUCGAACGAUGAAGCCGGAGCUUGCUCCGGUGGAUUAGUGGCGAACGGGUGAGUAACACGUGAGCAAUCUGCCCUUGACUCUGGGAUAACUGCGGGAAACUGUAGCUAAUACCGGAUACGACACCUUGGGGCAUCCCAGGGUGUGGAAAGAAUUUCGGUCAAGGAUGAGCUCGCGGCCUAUCAGCUAGUUGGUGAGGUAAUGGCUAACCAAGGCGACGACGGGUAGCCGGCCUGAGAGGGUGACCGGCCACACUGGAACUGAGACACGGUCCAGACUCCUACGGGAGGCAGCAGUGGGGAAUAUUGCACAAUGGGCGAAAGCCUGAUGCAGCAACGCCGCGUGAGGGAUGAAGGCCUUCGGGUUGUAAACCUCUUUUAGCAGGGAAGAAGCGAAAGUGACGGUACCUGCAGAAAAAGCACCGGCUAACUACGUGCCAGCAGCCGCAGUAA